AGGAUAGAGGCCUACCAUGGUGGUAACGGGUAACGGGGUGUUAGGGCACGACACCGGAGAGGGAGCCUGAGAAACGGCUACCACAUCCAAGGAUGGCAGCAGGCGCGCAAAUUACCCAAUCCCGACACGGGGAGGUAGUGACAAUAAAUAACAAUACGGGGUUCUUUCGGAUCUCGUAAUUGGAAUGAGUACAAUUUAAAUCUCUUAACGAGGAACAAUUGGAGGGCAAGUCUGGUGCCAGCAGCCGCGGUAACUCCAGCUCCAAUAGCGUAUAUUAAAGUUGUUGCAGUUAAAAAGCUCGUAGUUGAAUUUCGGGGUUAGUAGGUUGGUCAUGCCUCUGGUAUGUACUGAUCUCACUGAUUCCUCCUUCCUGAUGAACCGUAAUGCCAUUAAUUUGGUGUUGCGGGGAAUUUGGACUGUUACUUUGAAAAAAUUAGAGUGUUUAAAGCAAGCUAACGCUUGAAUACAUUAGCAUGGAAUAAUGAAAUAGGACGUUCGAUCCUAUUUUGUUGGUUUCUAGGAUUGACGUAAUGAUUAAUAGGGAUAGUUGGGGGCAUUAGUAUUCAAUUGUCAGAGGUGAAAUUCUUGGAUUUAUUGAAGACUAACUACCGCGAAAGCAUUUGCCAAGGAUGUUUUCAUUAAUCAAGAACGAAAGUUAGGGGAUCGAAGACGAUCAGAUACCGUCGUAGUCUUAACCAUAAACUAUGCCGACUAGGGAUCGGAUGA
rnacentral:rRNA from 1 species